rnacentral:rRNA from 1 species
GAUGAACGCUGGCGGCGUGCUUAACACAUGCAGGUCGAGCGAAGCACUUUACUUGGAUUUCUUCGGAAUGACGAGUAUUGUGACUGAGCGGCGGACGGGUGAGUAACGCGUGGGUAACCUGCCUCAUACAGGGGGAUAACAGUUAGAAAUGACUGCUAACACCGCAUAAGACCACAGCACCGCAUGGUGCAGAGGUAAAAACUCCGGUGGUAUGAGAUGGACCCGCGUCUGAUUAGCUGGUUGGUGGGGUAACGGCCUACCAAGGCAACGAUCAGGAGCCGGCCUGAGAGGGCGACCGGCCACAUUGGGACUGAGACACGGCCCAAACUCCUACGGGAGGCAGCAGUGGGGAAUAUUGCACAAUGGGGGAAACCCUGAUGCAGCGACGCCGCGUGAAGGAAGAAGUAUUUCGGUAUGUAAACUUCUAUCAGCAGGGAAGAAAAUGACGGUACCUGACUAAGAAGCCCCGGCUAACUACGUGCCAGCCGCCGCGGUAA